GCCGGAAUAGCUCAGCUGGUAGAGCAGCGCAUUCGUAAUGCGAAGGUCGGAGGUUCGACUCCUCUUUCCGGCACCA
rnacentral:tRNA from 1 species